GACGAACGCUGGCGGUGUGCUUCAUACAUGCAAGUCGAACGAAGAGGCCCUUUCGGGGGUACUUCAGUGGCGGACGGGUGAGUAAUACGUAGGUAACAUGCCCACACCUGGGGGAUAACAUCGGGAAACCGGUGCUAAUACCGCAUACGCCCUUGGUUGAAAUACCAUUGGUUAAAGAUGCGUCGGGGGUGGAUUGGCCUGCGUCGGAUUAGCUAGUUGGUGAGGUAAUGGCUCACCAAGGCAACGAUCC
rnacentral:rRNA from 1 species